UGGGCUGAUUGUUCGCUGCCUCCUCAGUCGGUUAGGGUCGUCAGUCGGGGACAGAUCGAGUCGGCGGGUUCCUUCAAAAUUUUUCGAGAUACCCUCAGUGUAUGAGGGCCUCGAUUUCAUCCUUAAGUUAGAUGCACUGCUUGGUGUUGUGGCCGUGGCCUCGAUGAAAUCGGCAGUACUUUCGUCGGUCGAGACCCUUUGCCUUCAAAGGCGGAGGCCGUCGUAGAUAU
rnacentral:lncRNA from 1 species